rnacentral:tRNA from 2 species
GCGGACGUGGCGAAACUGGUAGACGCAAGAGACUUAAAAUCUCUCGGCCUUAGGUCAUGCGGGUUCGAUCCCCGCCGUCCGCA